CUUCUGCAGAAAAUCCAAUUACCUGACAGAGGAAAAGAGCUCCUUCUCUGGAAAUCCAUGAGGCUGGGUGCUCUUCACACUAACUGAUCCUGUUAGGGCCCAGCUGCUGGCUGCACCGGAAGUCAGCUUGGCACAGCAGAAGGAACAGAUUCACUUGGGACUGGAAUCUGGUUCUGCCACUUGCCGGCUCUGUGACUUUAGGCAAGCGACUUCACAUUCCUCAGCCAAUUUCAUCCGUGAAAAGCUUAAAAUAGCUAGAGUGGUUGGUUUCCUGCACUGACCCUGACUGACAAAUGAGUUUGAGAGCACAGGCCAAAGGGAACAGUGUCAGAGACUCAACACGAUAAAUACAUCAUCCAGGAAGAGAAACUAGAGCUGCUCAUUGCUAAAACCAGAAGAGCAAGAUGUUGGAGAAUUAAUAUCUGCUAGAGAAAUAUGCAUCUCAGCCUGGACUAAUUGGUGCCUGGAACAUGAUGGUAGGUCUCCUACUCACAAAUUGGAUGGUGAUGGAAAGGCCAUCCUGAUGAGCCUUCCAAAAGUUUUGUCAGAAGACAGAGUGAUGUUGGAUAACACUACUGAGCCACAACUUCCAUCCACGCAAGACUUAAUAUAUUUCCUGGGACAAAAGUACCUAGGAAACCAAAAGCCUUUCACCUUAUCCCUUGAAGCUAAUUUCCCUUUGGCUGACACUGUGCAGCAAAGUGUAUUAAUAUCCAUGAUGGGUGAUCAGCCUUCAAUAAAUAAUGCUGGUUGUUCUAAUGUACCUGGC
rnacentral:lncRNA from 1 species